rnacentral:rRNA from 1 species
GACGUAGGGCGCGAGCGUUGUCCGGAUUUAUUGGGCGUAAAGAGCUCGUAGGCGGCUUGUCGCGUCGUCCGUGAAAACCCACAGCUCAACUGUGGGCUUGCGGUCGAUACGGGCAGGCUGGAGUUCGGUAGGGGAGAAUGGAAUUCCCGGUGUAGCGGUGAAAUGCGCAGAUAUCGGGAAGAACACCCGUGGCGAAGGCGGUUCUCUGGGACGGUACUGACGCUGAGACGCGAAAGCGUGGGGAGCGAACAGG